UUAUCGCUAUCAUUUUACAUUUUUUUUUUUUGGUGGAAUUUUAGGAUUAAUGAGUGAAAUUAGGGAAGGACUGCGGAUCGGUAUAUUAGGUUAGAAAAUUGGGUUUUGCUACGCACCAAGUCUUUAGCUUGAACAAAUAGUUAUACCUUGUCAGUCUCUAUUAUAAAGAGUACUAGUCAACUUGUCGAGAUAGACGGCCUUAUUAUUCCUGGAGGAGAGAGCACUUCUAUUUCUUUGUUGUGCGAACGUUCUAACUUGUAUGAACCACUAAGGAAUUUUGUAAAUGAAGGAAACCCGGUGUGGGGAACUUGCGCGGGUUUGGUGUUUUUAAGUAAGUACGUCUCGCAAGUAAAAAAUGGUGGUCAAAAGUUCUUGGAAAGCAUGGAUAUAAAAACUGAAAGAAAUUACUUUGGUUCACAGAAAGAUAGCUUUGAAGUGCUUAUAAAAACUCCUUGUUUAAAGGGAAAGAAACCUUUUCGAUGUCUAUUUAUUCGGGCUCCUGUUAUCACUGCUGUAGAUCAAGACAAAGUCGAGGCCUUGGCUGAACUUGAGAAAAGUGGAAAGAGCUUAAUUGUUGCUGCUCGUCAAGAAAACAAACUAGUUACGGGUUUUAAUAUUAUAUAAAUAACUCCAUAUCGCUUUCUGCACGUGUUUACAAUAGCUUUCCACCCGGAGCUCACUGACGAUCCACGUUGGCACCAGUACUUUUUAGAUAUUGUUAAAAGUCACAAAAAAUCUAGUAAGGUGUAAAUUUAUCUCCACACUUAAAAAAGAC